AGAAGCCAUAUGAGGUGAAAAUCUCAUGUACGGUUUUGUAGAGUGACAGUGAAGACAACUUAUCUGUCAAAUUUUCCACUAUCACCCCCCAAAAAACAAAAUCUUCCUUACGCAAAGUUUCCAGAGUACGAUUAAAUUCUAGAUUUUAAAU
rnacentral:ncRNA from 1 species